AUUCGUCUGACAGCCGCCGGUUUGCUUAUGGAUUAACGGCGAUACAUCCGAGCAACAGUUUUGCAAUGUACAGUUUUGCAUACUCAAAUACGUUUACGAUACGUAUUCUAACCUGGUUGUGCAACGUUAACCUUGUACUUUGCGACAUUUAAGAAUGCAAAUGUUGCUUACACAGAAAAAUCACAACUUAUAGACACACUGACAGCUACGGUUAUUGAGAAGUAAAUAAAUAUAAAUCAAAUUAGUGGAUAAGAUAAAUUUAGAAACAGUGUUAUUUAACGAUAGGAAAAAUUCAUAGGAGAAGCUCGUUCGUAUUAACGGAUAACGUUGAAAAUUAUGUCAUCGGUAAAGAUCGCAUGCAACUGUUUAUACGUUAUUUAAUUUAUGAAUCUAUUUCCGGAUCUGACGCGAAUACGACGAUUUGUGUGAAAAUGUAUUCAGUGAUUCACCGUGGCAAACAUCGGUGCACUCACGCAAGAAAUUUUAAGCAGGAAAUCAGCCAAUGGAACAACGAUAAUCUACUACAAUAUAUACAAAUUCGUAAUGGAUAUAAACAUCGACUUCAGUACUGAUUUGAUUCCUCGAGCAUUAAGUAACGACUUAAGUGUCAGAGUGAAAUUAACACCUACUGCCUCAAUUAUGAUAGUACAUUCCAUCUGCGGACCUGGACAUUGGACCACCCUAAAUUUAUUGAUCCAUUGCUCGAUUCCAAAGAAUAUUUAAGUUGAUCUUAAGUUAAGUCUACGUUAGAUGUUUAAUUCAACUGGGAGUCAUCGCUAAUCUGAAGCAAAAAGGAUUUGAUUCAAUUUCGAUCGGCUGGAAAAGAGAACCGAUCCCACGAGGAUUGAAUAAUAACGAAGGUGAUCCGCAACGAGCCCAAUGAGAGGGUAAAAUCGAUCGAAUCUCGCUAAUUAUCAGGAAUUUGAUAAUUACUAGCCGUGACUGGUAAUCGGUAGCCGUUUCGCCAGAAUUGCGACUUUUCCAUUUCCCGAUCCAAUGGAUUCUUAUUCGCGAACAUGAAUGAAGAACACCGAGUGAAAUCCUUUAACCAUCGUUAUCAGCCAAUAAAAAUAUUUACACGAUGAGAUAAAUGGAGUGUGAACUAGUUUGCAAAUAAUUACAUCUAAAUCGGCCGGUUACGUCAUCGUAAAAAGUGAAAAUGGAAGCGACGACGCGACGUGCGUCGAAGAUGAAUGAAAAUGCAUAUGCAUCGUCACGCGUCAAGUGCUCAAUGAACGUCGUAACACUUAUUGUUGAGUGAUAAAACCACUACCAAGUUUCUAGCUCGCCUAUGCAAACUAUAUUCGACGAUGAACUCAAUGAUAAAAUUGACAGCACGACUUUAACCCUUUUGCGACUACCAACUAAUAUACACAAUGUCGAUGGCUCGCUGCACAAACAUCCUAUGUCCAUUUUCAGCGUUCUCGAGAAAAAACGAUAUUAAUAACUUAAUAUUAUCCCUUUGCACUCUGAAUUUUAUUUCAAUUUCAUAGCAGCAGCUCCAAACGCUUUUAAGUGUUUUGUUUGUAAUUUCCUUGAACUAAAAAAUAAGACAAUUUAAAUAAAUAAAGGAGGAAAGAAAUUCACCUAAAUACCAGUUUUAUUUACACUAUGUUACAUUUUGUAAUUUUUAAAUGUAUGAUAUAUCUUGAAACAAUUUUCAGGAUGCAAUCCUGGUUUCUUUCACAAAAUAGGUAGGACUGAAGGAAUAUUGAGUGGGACUCGACAAAGGAACUCCUGAGAUAAAAACUGAAAAAUAAGACAAUUUAAAUAAAUAAAGGAAGAAAGAAAUUCACCUAAAUACCAGUUUUAUUUACACUACUGUUACAUUUUGUAAUUUUUAAAUGAUAUAUCUUGAAACAAUUUUCAGGAUCCUAGUUUUUUCACAAAAAAAGGUGGGACUGAAGGAAUUUGAGUGGGACACGGCAAAAGAGCUUCUGAGAUAAAAACUAAAAAAUAAGACAAUUUAAAUAAAUAAAGGAAGAAAGAAAUUCACCUAAAUACCAAUUUUAUUCACACUAUUGUUAUAUUUUGUAAUUUUUAAAUGAUAUAUCUUGGAACAAUUUCCAGGAUCCUAUUUUUUUCACAAAAUAGAUAGGACUGAAGGAAUAUUGAGUGGGACUCGACAAAGGAACUCCUGAGAUAAAAACUGUCAUCGAAUCACGCUCGACAUAGAAGUGCAAAGAGUUAUGAUAUUUAUCUGAAUAUUAAGAUACAUUAUAAUGAAAUAAAUACUAUUGGCAUUCUAUUUAUUGUUCAAGAUGACAACAUGAGUUCGUGCUCGCCAUUCAUAUGCGGAUGCGCUAGUUACACUAAAUACUAACUAGGAGAUUGUUCUAGAUACAAUCGAUAGAUGUAAUCGAUAGGUUUAAGAUGUUCUUUUGUUUUUAUCCCUAGUCCAUGUAAGAACGUACACGGUAAGAACUCAGAACGGUGUGAUAGAUUUAUCCAAAGAAUAAAAUAAUAGCUAUUGUGAUUCUACCUGUGAAUAAAGAAAUAACAACAUUUAUCUUUAUCAAUAGUGUUACAAAAUUAGUUAGAGAUUGUGUAUUGGUCGUUUUUAGAGGUAUACGUGAAAUGACAAAUACAUAAGAGAAAAUGUUAUUUUUCCUAAACGUAUGAAGCAAAUGUGGCCAUUUAAACAGCGUACAGAUAUAGCGAUAUAAAAUUUCCAAUUGCACAGAAAAUGUACGUACAAUAUUUGUGCAAUCAAGCCAUCGAUACGUGUAUUUAUAUUUCGACCUUAAUUUGAUAAUAGACAUUGUGUGGUAUGACAAACACUUUGCUUACUCCCACGAGCCAAGUGUUAUCUAAUAAUUGAUUUCACAUAUUUAUUUCAACUUGAGAUCUAGCAAUUCAUAAUUAUCACAAAUACUUCACUCGAUGUAACGAUACAAAGCAAAAAUUAAUAUAGUUACGAUGAUUUAGUUGUAGUAAAAUAAUCAUAAUAAAAAUUGUAAUAAAAUCGAUUUAGUUAUAACAAGUCUUAACCUUGAAGAGAAGUAACGCUUAUUUUAAUGGACAUUCUGUUUGCAGUAAUCUAAACGUAGAUUCUUGCUCUAUUAUAUUAAUUUAUUCAAUGAUUAAUGUAAAUCCUGUGAAUAACUUUCUAUUCCACAGACAAAGGAGUUAACGUCUUAAAGAAAAGUAACACUGAACUGGAAAUAGCUUCUGUCGCAAUAAAGAUCAGUUAAAUAUUUUCUAAGCUGAAGAUUUUCUUUCAUCAAUGGCUUAUAGAUCUGAUUAAUAGAAGAACUAGCGUUCU